rnacentral:rRNA from 1 species
UGGGGAAUUGUUCGCAAUGGGCGCAAGCCUGACGACGCAACGCCGCGUGGAGGAUGAAGGUCUUCGGAUCGUAAACUCCUGUUGCCCGGGACGAAUGGCUUCGACCUAAUACGUCGGAGUAUGACGGUACCGGGUGAGGAAGCCCCGGCUAACUCUGUGCCAGCAGCCGCGGUAAUACAGAGGGGGCAAGCGUUGUUCGGAAUUACUGGGCGUAAAGGGCGCGUAGGCGGCCUGGUAAGUAGGGGGUGAAAUCUCAUGGCGCAACUGUGAGGCUGCCUUCUAGACUGCCAGGCUUGAGCACAGUAGAGGCGAGUGGAAUUCCCGGUGUAGCGGUGGAAUGCGUAGAGAUCGGGAAGAACAUCGGUGGCGAAGGCGGCUCGCUGGGCUGUUGCUGACGCUGAGGCGCGAAAGCGUGGGGAGCAAACAGGAUUAGAUACCCCGGUAGUCCCUGAGCGGGCUGGCAAGGCGCAU